GGAAGUAAAGUCGUAACAAGGUCUCCGUUGGUGAACCAGCGGAGGGAUCAUUACAGGACUCGCAAGACUCCUACAACCCUGUGAACUUAACUAUAAGCACGUUGCUUCGGCGGGUGUCUCGGAGGGGGUUCUCCCUCCCCGAGACGCUAAACCCGCCGGCAGCCUACUAUACUCAGUCUCUUUGCGUUGGCAUCUCGAGUACAAUCAAACAAGUUAAAACUUUCAACAACGGAUCUCUUGGUUCUG
rnacentral:misc_RNA from 1 species